rnacentral:rRNA from 1 species
GAUGAACGCUGGCGGCGUGCCUAAUACAUGCAAGUCGAGCGAACGGACGAGAAGCUUGCUUUUCUGAUGUUAGCGGCGGACGGGUGAGUAACACGUGGAUAACCUACCUAUAAGACUGGGAUAACUUCGGGAAACCGGAGCUAAUACCGGAUAAUAUUUUGAACCGCAUGGUUCAAAAGUGAAAGACGGUCCUGCUGUCACUUAUAGAUGGAUCCGCGCUGCAUUAGCUAGUUGGUAAGGUAACGGCUUACCAGGGCAACGAUGCAUAGCCGACCUGAGAGGGUGAUCGGCCACACUGGAACUGAGACACGGUCCAGACUCCUACGGGAGGCAGCAGUAGGGAAUCUUCCGCAAUGGGCGAAAGCCUGACGGAGCAACGCCGCGUGAGUGAUGAAGGUCUUCGGAUCGUAAAACUCUGUUAUUAGGGAAGAACAUAUGUGUAAGUAACGGUGCACAUCUUGACGGUACCUAAUCAGAAAGCCACGGCUAACUACGU